CGGCGAGCGAAGCGGGAAAAGCCCAAAAUGAAAAGCCAGCUUGCUGGCGUUGUAGUUGAGCGACCUUGGGGUGUCAGUUUGGGUAAGUCGCAUGGAAAUGCGUGCCGUGGAGGGUGAGAGCCCCGUCCAUCCCAUUCAGGACACUCCGCACAAGGGCGUUUCAGACGAGUCGGGUAGCUUGGGAAUGCUGCUCUAAUUGGUGGUAAAUCUCAUCAAAGGCUAAAUAACGGUGGGAGACCGAUAGCGAACAAGUACCGUGAGGGAAAGAUGACAAGCACUUUGAAAAGAGGGUGAAAAGAGCCUGAAACCGUUACGGGGGAAGCGGAUCGCGUUGGCCUGGUGGCCGCCUGUGUGUUCAGCCCUUUGGGUGCAUUGAUGCAGGUGGUUAUCCGUUGUGGCUUCUCGGUGGCCGAAUUUGGGCUGCCGGGGGGUGAGGGCUCCCUUCGGGUGAGGACGACGGAGUGACGACGCGAUACGACCCGUCUUGAAACACGGACCAAGGAGUCUAGCGCGGGUGCGAGUCGGAGGGUGUUAAAACCCGUGGGCGAAGUGAAAGCGAGUUUAAAAACGAGCAGUUUGGGGCGGCAUAGAAUCGUUGAUUCUAGGUCCGACCUUGAGCAGUUGCGCUGGGACCCGAAAGAUGGUGAACUAUGCCGGAGUAGGGCAAAGCCAGAAGAAAUUCUGGUGGAGGCUCGUAGCGGUGCUGACGUGCAAAUCGCUCGUCGAACUUGGGUAUAGGGGCGAAAGACUAAUCGAACCAUCUAGUAGCUGGUUCCCUCCGAAGUUUCUCUCAGGAUAGCAGGCCGACAAGUUGUUUUGUGCGGUAAAGCGAAUGAUUAGCGUACUCGGGGACGUUUAGUCUUCGGACGAUUCUCAAACUUUCAAUGCGCAAGGGUACCGGUGCUUUGUUGAGCGGUACCGAUAAAAACGUCGGCCUUGUGGGCCACUUUUGGUAAGCAGAACUGGCGAUACGGGAUGAACCGUAAGCAUGGUUAAGGUGCCAAACUGCCCGCUUAUAGAUCCUUAGCCCUGAAAAUGGAUGGCGCUUAAGCGGGCGACCGACACCAUGCCGUCUGUGAAAUAAUUCAGAUGAGUAGGAGGGCGUGGCGGCCGUGUCGAAGCGUGCUUGCAGAGGCAUGUGGAACGGCCGCUAGUGCAGAUCUUGGUGGUAGUAGCAAAUAUUCAAGCGAGAUCCUUGAAGGGCGAAGCGGGGAAGGGUUCCACGCGAACAUUGAUUGGGCGUGGGUGAGUCGUUCCUAAGCCGAGUGGCGAUUGCUAAGUAGCGGCGAAAGGGAAGCGGGUUGACAUUCCCGCACACGGAUGUGGAGGCGGUGACGCUUUAUUGGGGCGAACACGCUGGCGGUGGCGCUGGGCAGAGUUGUCUUUUCUGUUUGACCGCUGAUGCACGCGGUGUGGAAUCCGCUUGUCGGGAGAAACACGCGUGUACGGGCAGAGCGCCGGGGCUUUUCCGGCGUCCAGCUCGCCACCGACGGCCCUUGAAACUUUGCCUGCUGGUAUUUUUUAUUAAGAUCCACGCCGUGGCGUACCGAUCACCGCAUCAGGUCCCCAAGGUGAACAGCCUCUGCUCGAUAUGAACAAUGCAGGUAAGGGAAGUCGGCAAAUUGGACCCGUAACUUUGGGAAAAGGGUUGGCUCUAGUGCUGCGUGGGAGUGGUUGUCGAGUGUUGGUGUGUUUAGGCUUGCUGGAAUGAGCGCGGGCCUUCGGGACUGUGUUUAUCUGGCGGGCCCGGGCGCGCCACGCUCGACGACGCCCACAGCAUGCAGCAGACUAGAACUGCAACGGGCAAAGGGAAUCCGACUGUUUAAUUAAAACAAAGCAUUGCGAGGGCCGUGGCCGGUGAUGACGCAAUGUGAUUUCUGCUCAGUGCUCUGAAUGUCAAAGUGAAGAGAUUCAAUCAAGCGCGGGUAAACAGCGGGAGUAACUAUGACUCUCUUAAGGUAGCCAAAUGCCUCGUCAUCUAAUUAGUGACGCGCAUGAAUGGAUUAACGAGAUUCCUACUGUCCCUAUCUGCUUCUAGCGAAACCACAGCCGAGGGAACGGGCUCGGCGAAAUCGGCGGGGAAAGAAGACCCUGUUGAGCUUGACUCUAUUCUAAUUUUGUGAAGCAAGCUGGGAGGUGUAGCAUAGGUGGGAGACUUCGGUCGUCCGUGAAAUACCACUACUCCCAGUCUUGCUUUACUUACUGGGUCGGUGUGGAUGAGUCUUACGACUCUUUUCUGGAACCAACCUGAUUUAAUUCGGGGACCACAGCUCAGUACACAUUUAGGAGGGGAGUUUGGCUGGGGCGGUACAUCUUCUACAAGACAACGAAGGUGUCCAAAGAUAAGCUCAGUGAGAACAGAAAUCUCACGUAGCGCAAAAGGGUAAAAGCUUGUUUGAUUUUGAUUUUCAGUGCGAGUCAAAAACGCGAAAGCGUGGCCUAUCGAUCCUUUCACGAUUCGAGAUUUGAAGCGAGAGGUGUCAGAAAAGUUACCACAGGGAUAACUGGCUUGUGGCGGCCAAGCGUUCAUAGC
rnacentral:rRNA from 1 species